rnacentral:rRNA from 1 species
UGGGGAAUAUUGGACAAUGGGCGAAAGCCUGAUCCAGCCAUGCCGCGUGUGUGAAGAAGGUCUUCGGAUUGUAAAGCACUUUAAGUUGGGAGGAAGGGCAGUAAGUUAAUACCUUGCUGUUUUGACGUUACCGACAGAAUAAGCACCGGCUAACUCUGUGCCAGCAGCCGCGGUAAUACAGAGGGUGCAAGCGUUAAUCGGAAUUACUGGGCGUAAAGCGCGCGUAGGUGGUUUGUUAAGUUGGAUGUGAAAGCCCCGGGCUCAACCUGGGAACUGCAUCCAAAACUGGCAAGCUAGAGUACGGUAGAGGGUGGUGGAAUUUCCUGUGUAGCGGUGAAAUGCGUAGAUAUAGGAAGGAACACCAGUGGCGAAGGCGACCACCUGGACUGAUUCUGACACUGAGGUGCGAAAGCGUGGGGAGCAAACA